UGGAAUAACGCCAAUUCUGCUUUCACUUUCACAUCCUUGAAGUCUCAAGAACCCCCACACGCUUUUUUAAGUCUCACACGAGCUCUUCUGUUCAAGAACUCCAACAGACGCGACCUGUAUAGUAGAUCAGGCUAGAGAUGGCGGACUCAGAAAAGUUACUGCCUGAGGGGAAAGACUGGCGGCUGCAGAAUGUCCUGUGGAAUGACGA